rnacentral:rRNA from 1 species
CUGCUGCCUCCCGUAGGAGUCUGGGCCGUGUCUCAGUCCCAGUGUGGCCGAUCACCCUCUCAGGUCGGCUACCCAUCGUUGCCUUGGUGGGCCGUUACCUCACCAACUAGCUAAUGGGUCGCGAGCCCAUCCUAUACCGAAUAUUUCUUUUACCCUGUAUCAUGCGAUACUGUGGUCUUAUACCGUAUUAGCACAAAUUUCUCUGUGUUAUCCCGUUGUAUAGGGCAGGUUGCUCACGCGCUACUCACCCG